rnacentral:lncRNA from 1 species
UCCCGAUACCGUCCCUGAAGGAAAAUGAACCGCGGAAUAGACCAACGGACUUGAUACGCCAUGAUAACUAUUGGCAGACCGUGGCUUCCAAGGUGCUAGUGAGCAUGAGCAACGUUCAAACACAGCCUCCCAAAUCCUGACAGGGAUUCGAAUCGGAAGUGGCCCAGAGCGGCCAUUUCGCUUCUGUUGUCAACUCUUCUAACCUGUGAAUCGCCUGUGGGAUGCUGAGGAUUUCCAGUGUCCCUCCAGAGCCCCUGGGUCAGGCCACAUCACGGAGACUGCAGGAUCUCCCUACACAGCUCAGGUCGACUCUUCCUAGCAGCUCUGAUUGGAGCCUUCUGAUGCCCACCCAGCUGCAGGCUCCUGGAAAGAGUGGUGUUGUCAGCAAGAGAGACCAAGAAUUGAAGCCCAGAAGGGACAUGCUUGCUGACAUGAAUUUGCCCCAGAGGCCCCAGGUCUUGGGUUUAGAGGAGCAGGACGUAUCGUGUGAGGUAAGCGGGAGCCACCCCCACCCCAGGGGUAGUUCUACGGAACUUGAGGGCAGACAAAGGAAGCAGCAGACUCUGGACUCCUUGUGUCAAGACAAUGUGGAUUCUCCGGCAGAGAGCAGAGAACUGAUAGCUAAUGUUUCCUCAUCCACAGGCACUGUGUCUUAUAGAGGAAACUGAACUGACCGAUGCAGGAGGAUGUGUAGGAGAAGAGGGUUGGUCCUGGGGCAAAGGAAGAAGAAACCAUAGCUCCAGCCACAGGCCAGGAAAUACUCACUCCUUCCUGCUCAGCACAGGCAUCCUUCACCCACAUGUUCAUCCUCCAUCCACUGCUGGGUCUUUGCAUUGUUUCAGCUGAUCCCCACCUGACUCCUCCUCACUGGAGAUUGGCUGGUUUCUCCUCUGUCCUCAGAAUUUACAGUCACAGAGCAAGAACUAGCUUUUAAGGACCGUGUGGUUUUUCCUCUUUUAAAAGAUGAAUAAAAGUGCUCAGGAAUAAUGUAGACA